rnacentral:rRNA from 1 species
UACAGGGGGUGCAAACGUUGCUCGGAAUCAUUGGGCGUAAAGCGCACGUAGGCGGUCUGUUAUGUCGGAUGUGAAAGCCCUUGGCUUAACUGAGGAAGUGCAUCCGAAACUGGCAGGCUAGAGUACUAAAGAGGGUCGCGGAAUUCCCGGUGUAGAGGUGAAAUUCGUAGAUAUCGGGAGGAACACCGGUGGCGAAGGCGGCGACCUGGGUCGAUACUGACGCUGAGGUGCGAAAGCGUGGGGAGCAAACAGG